rnacentral:lncRNA from 11 species
CAAGACCUCUUCCUCACCUCUGUAUCUCAAGACUUCUUUGAAGAAGUGGUUGCUAUGCAGCCUUGUUUAUUCACGACCUUUGGAUCUUCUGGGAAUGAAGUGAGAACAGCAGUGGGAAGAACUAAAAAAAACAGAACCAGUAAUUUCUUACCUUCAAUGAAAUCCAGGGUAUUUAUGUACGCAUGGCAACACAUGACAAUUUUACCGCAGUGAAGUGUCGAUGGCCUGUUGCCCUACCUUGUGGGAGCCUCCCCAAAGUGAAACCUGGAUCCCGAUCACUAAGAGGAGGAAGCAUUGAUGCCAAUUUGCAGCUCUGUGGGAAUGGAUGGAUGACUGCAGAUGAUGCACCUCUUCAUUCAGUAUUAAAGAAACAAGGAUGUCUGUGGGGAGGCAAAGAAGAACCUCCAGAUAUUCCCACAGUGGAGACGUGGGACAAUAGGAAUGGCUUCCAGAAAAAAAAUAUGGAGAACACAGUCGCACAUGACUUUUCUGAGCUAUCCAGCUCUCAAUCAAGACAACAUCCCAAUGAGCAGGAAGUAAGCAGUGCAGCUGUGGAGACUGCUCAGAUCAAAGACAAACUCAAGAAGAGGAGAAUGUCUGAGGGCACACUUACAUCAAAUAAAGGUAUGAUUGAUACUGAUUUAGCGAUUUUCAUAAACGGG